UGUGGUCCUGAAUGUAUCAUCCUCCAUUCUCCAGCCGAGGAGCUAGCCCUGUCCGGUCUCCCAGUGUACCCAGCAUUCCCUGUCCUUGCUUGGGGUGAGAGAGUGGACAAGUAUGAAAAGUGAUGGAAGAGGUUGUCCUGGGGGCGGGGGAUGUGUGUGUGUGAGAGAGUAUAUGAAUAAGUGUGUACAUGAGUGUGUAUGAAAGAGAGUCUGUACAAGUGUGUGUGUGUGUGUGUGUGAGAGAGAAUAUAUGAAUAAGUAUGUAUGUGAGUGUGUAUGUGUGUGUGAGUGUGAGAGAAUACAUGAAUAAGUGUGUAUGUGAGUGUGAGUGUGUAUGUGUGAGUGUGAGAGAGUCUGGAUAGGUGUGUGUGUAUGUGUGUGUGUGAGAGAGAGUAUAUGAAUAAAUGUGUAUGUGAGUGUGUAUGUGUGUGUGUGAGUGUGAGAGAGAGUCUGGAUAGGUGUGUGUGUAUCCUUCCCUAUCCUCCCCAUCCCUCCCUCCCUCUCUCUUUCUUUUUCCACCCCACAGUGCUGUUUGCUUAAACACUGUUCCGCUGAGUUGUUUC
rnacentral:lncRNA from 1 species